rnacentral:rRNA from 1 species
UGGGGAAUAUUGGACAAUGGAGGAAACUCUGAUCCAGCAAUUCUGUGUGUGUGAAGAAGGUUUUAGGACUGUAAAACACUUUUAGUAGGGAAGAAAAAAAUGACGGUACCUACAGAAGAAGCAACGGCUAAAUACGUGCCAGCAGCCGCGGUAAUACGUAUGUUGCGAGCGUUAUCCGGAAUUAUUGGGCUUAAAGGGCAUCUAGGCGGUAAGACAAGUUGAAGGUGAAAACCUGUGGCUCAACCAUAGGCUUGCCCACAAAACUGUUGAACUAGAGUACUGGAAAGGUGGGUGGAACUACACGAGUAGAGGUGAAAUUCGUAGAUAUGUGUAGGAAUGCCGAUGAUGAAGAUAACUCACUGGACAGAAACUGACACUGAAGUGCGAAAGCUAGGGGAGCAAACAGG